GAUGAAGAACGUAGUGAAAUGCGAUAAGUAAUGUGAAUUGCAGAAUUCAGUGGAUCAUCGAAUCUUUGAACGCACAUUGCGCCCGCCAGUAUUCUGGCGGGCAUGCCUGUUCGAGCGUCAUUACAACCCUCAGGCCCCCGGGCCUGGCGUUGGGGAUCGGCGGAGCCCCCCGUGGGCACACGCCGUCCCCCAAAUACAGUGGCGGUCCCGCCGCAGCUUCCAUCGCGUAGUAGCUAACACCUCGCGACUGGAGAGCGGCGCGGCCACGCCGUAAAACACCCAACUCUUCUGAAGUUGACCUCGAAUCAGGUAGGAAUACCCGCUGAACUUAAGCAUAUCAAUAAGCGGAGGA
rnacentral:misc_RNA from 1 species